UACGUAGGGGGCAAGCGUUGUCCGGAAUUAUUGGGCGUAAAGAGCGUGUAGGCGGUCCGGUAAGUCAGCUGUGAAAGUCAAGGGCUCAACCCUUGAAAGCCGGUUGAUACUGUCGGGCUAGAGUCCGGAAGAGGCGAGUGGAAUUCCCGGUGUAGCGGUGAAAUGCGCAGAUAUCGGGAGGAACACCAAUGGCGAAGGCAGCUCGCUGGGACGGUACUGACGCUCAGGUGCGAAAGCGUGGGGAGCAAACAGG
rnacentral:rRNA from 1 species